rnacentral:rRNA from 1 species
CGUGGAGACAGGUGGUGCAUGGCUGUCGUCAGCUCGUGUCGUGAGAUGUUGGGUUAAGUCCCGCAACGAGCGCAACCCUCACCUCUUGUUGCCAUCAGGUCAUGCUGGGCACUCUAGAGGAACUGCCCCGGUCAACGGGGAGGAAGGCGGGGAUGACGUCAAGUCAUCAUGCCCCUUACGUCCUGGGCUACACACGUGCUACAAUGGCCAGUACAAAGGGAUGCCACACCGCGAGGUAGAGCUAAACCCAAAAAGCCGGUCUAAGUUCAGAUUGGAGUCUGCAACUCGACUCCAUGAAGGAGGAAUCGCUAGUAAUCGCGUAUCAGCACGACGCGGUGAAUACGUUCCCGGGCCUUGUACACACCGCCCGUCACACCACGAAAGCCUGCUGUACUCGAAGUCGCUGAG